AGAGUUUGAUCCUGGCUCAGAAUCAACGCUGGCGGCGUGCCUAACACAUGCAAGUCGAACGAGAAAGUGGAGCAAUCCAUGAGUAAAGUGGCGCACGGGUGAGUAACACGUGACUAACCUACCCUUGAGUGGGGAAUAACCUGGAGAAAUCUAGGCUAAUACCGCAUAACACCUACGGGUCAAAGGAGCAAUUCGCUUAAGGAGGGGGUCGCGGCAGAUUAGCUAGUUGGCGGGGUAAUGGCCCACCAAGGCGGUGAUCUGUAUCCGGCCUGAGAGGGCGCACGGACACACUGGAACUGAAACACGGUCCAGACUCCUACGGGAGGCAGCAGUGGGGAAUUUUGCGCAAUGGGGGAAACCCUGACGCAGCAACGCCGCGUGGAGGAUGAAGUCCCUUGGGACGUAAACUCCUUUCGAUCGGGACGAUUAUGACGGUACCGAGAGAAGAAGCCCCGGCUAACUUCGUGCCAGCAGCCGCGGUAAUACGAGGGGGGCGAGCGUUGUUCGGAAUUAUUGGGCGUAAAGGGUGCGUAGGCGGUUCGGUAAGUCUUAUGUGAAAUCUUCGGACUCAACUCGAAGUCUGCAUGAGAAACUGCCGGGCUUGAGUGUGGGAGAGGUGAGUGGAAUUUCCGGUGUAGCGGUGAAAUGCGUAGAUAUCGGAAGGAACACCUGUGGCGAAAGCGGCUCACUGGACCAUAACUGACGCUGAUGCACGAAAGCUAGGGGAGCAAACAGGAUUAGAUACCCNNGUAGUCC
rnacentral:rRNA from 1 species